rnacentral:rRNA from 1 species
CGUAGGUUCCGAGCGUUAUCCGGAUUUACUGGGCGUAAAGCGCGUUCAGGCGGUUCGGCAAGUCGGGCAUGAAAUCUCUCGGCUCAACCGGGAGAGGUUGUCCGAUACUGUUGGACUUGAGGGCAGUAGAGGGUGGUGGAAUUCCGGGUGUAGUGGUGAAAUGCGUAGAUAUCCGGAGGAACACCAGUGGCGAAAGCGGCCACCUGGACUGCACCUGACGCUGACACGCGAAAGCUAGGGGAGCGAACGGGAUUAGAAACCCCGGUAGUCCUAGCUAUAAACGAUGUUGACUAGGUGUCGACGGGUUAAAAUCCGCCGGUGCCGCAGCUAACGCACUAAGUCAACCGCCUGGGGACUACGGCCGCAAGGUUA